GGGGUUGUGGCUCAGCGGUAGAGCACUUGCCUAGCAUGUGUGAGACUCUGGGUUCGAUCCCUAGCACCUCA
rnacentral:tRNA from 1 species